UAAGCAUAUCAAUAAGCGGAGGAAAAGAAACCAACAGGGAUUGCCCUAGUAACGGCGAGUGAAGCGGCAACAGCUCAAAUUUGGAAUCUGGCCCCCCCAGGGCCCGAGUUGUAAUUUGCAGAGGAUGCUUUUGGCGCGGCGCCUUCCGAGUUCCCUGGAACGGGACGCCAUAGAGGGUGAGAGCCCCGUCUGGUCGGACGCCAAGCCAGUGUAAAGCUCCUUCGACGAGUCGAGUAGUUUGGGAAUGCUGCUCUAAACGGGAGGUAUAUGUCUUCUAAAGCUAAAUACCGGCCAGAGACCGAUAGCGCACAAGUAGAGUGAUCGAAAGAUGAAAAGCACUUUGAAAAGAGGGUUAAACAGUACGUGAAAUUGUUGAAAGGGAAGCGCUUGUGACCAGACUUGGGCCCGGUGAAUCAUCCAGCGUUCUCGCUGGUGCACUUUGCCGGGCCCAGGCCAGCAUCAGUUCGCCGCGGGGGACAAAAGCUCCGGGAACGUGGCUCCCCCGGGAGUGUUAUAGCCCGUUGCACAAUACCCUGCGGUGGACUGAGGUUCGCGCUCCGCAAGGAUGCUGGCGUAAUGGUCAUCAGUGACCCGUCUUGAAACACGGACCAAGGAGUCGUCUUCGUAUGCGAGUGUUCGGGUGUCAAACCCCUACGCGGAAUGAAAGUGAACGCAGGUGAGAGCUUCGGCGCAUCAUCGACCGAUCCUGAUGUUCUCGGAUGGAUUUGAGUAAGAGCAUACGGGGCCGGACCCGAAAGAAGGUGAACUAUGCCUGUGUAGGGUGAAGCCAGAGGAAACUCUGGUGGAGGCUCGCAGCGGUUCUGACGUGCAAAUCGAUCGUCAAACAUGGGCAUGGGGGCGAAAGACUAAUCGAACCUUCUAGUAGCUGGUUUCCGCCGAAG
rnacentral:rRNA from 1 species